rnacentral:rRNA from 1 species
UAGGGAAUCUUCCGCAAUGGGCGAAAGCCUGACGGAGCAACGCCGCGUGAGUGAUGAAGGUCUUCGGAUCGUAAAACUCUGUUCUUAGGGAAGAACAAAUGUGUAAGUAACUAUGCACGUCUUGACGGUACCUAAUCAGAAAGCCACGGCUAACUACGUGCCAGCAGCCGCGGUAAUACGUAGGUGGCAAGCGUUAUCCGGAAUUAUUGGGCGUAAAGCGCGCGUAGGCGGUUUUUUAAGUCUGAUGUGAAAGCCCACGGCUCAACCGUGGAGGGUCAUUGGAAACUGGAAAACUUGAGUGCAGAAGAGGAAAGUGGAAUUCCAUGUGUAGCGGUGAAAUGCGAAGAGAUAUGGAGGAACACCAGUGGCGAAGGCGACUUUCUGGUCUGUAACUGACGCUGAUGUGCGAAAGCGUGGGGAUCAAACAGG